UGGUUCAUAGGUCAAUGCUCAACUACUGAGCCAUGCUGGCCAGGUGAAGAAAUUAUUUUUAAGCAUAUUGAAAUUAAGAAGCACCAACCUUAAAGCAGAAAGGAGUUAUUUGAAAUGAUGACCUGAUUACCUUGAUGAAGAAAAUCAUAUAGCUGCUAUCUACCUUUUGAAAAUGUGGCUUUUGGUUUGAGUGCAGGCUGGAAGAUUGUGAAGCUUUGCACGUGUACAGAGCUGCACCUUCUGCUAAACCAGGGGCAGAAAGUCACUUUUGAAAGUAUAUUUCCCUGAAAGUCUUCAUCCGUCUAAACUUCAGAGCACCACUUGACAGAAAAAAACCUUCCCUUCAGCAUUUUCUCCUCCACUGCCUCCUGUGAUGUGAUGUCCGAGCCCUCUCACCGCCUGACCCAUCUUGUCAGGGAUUUAGUGCAGCAUCAACUGAAGAGCCGAGCAUUCUCAAGAUUCAAAGUCCCAGAUGGAAGCACUUGAUUGACUGAGCCUACGUCACGUGCCUGCACCAUAGUGAUCAGAGACACACAUGAGUAGAACAUUCCCUCCCUGAUAUAUGUAUGUGUAUAUCAUGGAAAAGAUAAACUUCUCAAUGCCUGGUGAAGAAUUUGAACAGAUCUUUCUCUC